GACGAACGCUGGCGGCGUGCCUAAUACAUGCAAGUAGAACGCUGAAGGAGGAGCUUGCUUCUCUGGAUGAGUUGCGAACGGGUGAGUAACGCGUAGGUAACCUGCCUGGUAGCGGGGGAUAACUAUUGGAAACGAUAGCUAAUACCGCAUAAUAGUAGAUGUUGCAUGACAUUUGCUUAAAAGGUGCAAUUGCAUCACUACCAGAUGGACCUGCGUUGUAUUAGCUAGUUGGUGGGGUAACGGCUCACCAAGGCGACGAUACAUAGCCGAUCUGAGAGGGUGAUCGGCCACACUGGGACUGAGACACGGCCCAGACUCCUACGGGAGGCAGCAGUAGGGAAUCUUCGGCAAUGGACGGAAGUCUGACCGAGCAACGCCGCGUGAGUGAAGAAGGUUUUCGGAUCGUAAAGCUCUGUUGUAAGAGAAGAACGAGUGUGAGAGUGGAAAGUUCACACUGUGACGGUAUCUUACCAGAAAGGGACGGCUAACUACGUG
rnacentral:rRNA from 1 species